UACGAAGGGGGCUAGCGUUGUUCGGAAUUACUGGGCGUAAAGCGCGCGUAGGCGGCUUUGUAAGUUAGAGGUGAAAGCCCGGGGCUCAACCCCGGAAUUGCCUUUAAGACUGCAUCGCUUGAAUCCGGGAGAGGUGAGUGGAAUUCCGAGUGUAGAGGUGAAAUUCGUAGAUAUUCGGAAGAACACCAGUGGCGAAGGCGGCUCACUGGACCGGCAUUGACGCUGAGGUGCGAAAGCGUGGGGAGCAAACGGG
rnacentral:rRNA from 1 species